rnacentral:tRNA from 1 species
GGGCAAUUGGUUUAGUGGUAUAAUUUUCCCUUAGCACCUGUGCUACUCGACUGGGAAAGGUCCUGGGUUCGAUUCCCAGAUUGUCCA